GGCCUCUCAGAAGGUACAGAGGUAACACUCAAACAUAUUUUGCUUUCACCAUCUCGCUCUCUAACAUACCAACAUCACCAACUUGCUGAGUGGUUGGAGUAGGUCUCUCAGACGGUACAGAGGUAGCAGUCAUCC